UACGGGAGGCAGCAGUGGGGGAUAUUGCACAAUGGGGGAAACCCUGAUGCAGCGACGCCGCGUGGAGGAAGAAGGUUUUCGGAUUGUAAACUCCUGUCGUUAGGGACGAUAAUGACGGUACCUAACAAGAAAGCACCGGCUAACUACGUGCCAGCAGCCGCGGUAAAACGUAGGGUGCAAGCGUUGUCCGGAAUUACUGGGUGUAAAGGGAGCGCAGGCGGACCGGCAAGUUGGAAGUGAAAACUAUGGGCUCAACCCAUAAAUUGCUUUCAAAACUGCUGGCCUUGAGUAGUGCAGAGGUAGGUGGAAUUCCCGGUGUAGCGGUGGAAUGCGUAGAUAUCGGGAGGAACACCAGUGGCGAAGGCGACCUACUGGGCACCAACUGACGCUGAGGCUCGAAAGCAUGGGUAGCAAACAGGAUUAGAUACCCUGGUAGUCCAUGCCGUAAACGAUGAUUACUAGGUGUUGGAGGAUUGACCCCUUCAGUGCCGCAGUUAACACAAUAAGUAAUCCACCUGGGGAGUACGACCGCAAGGUUGAAACUCAAAGGAAUUGACGGGGGCCCGCACAAGCAGUGGAGUAUGUGGUUUAAUUCGAAGCAACGCGAAGAACCUUACCAGGUCUUGACAUCCGAUGCAUAGUGCAGAGAUGCAUGAAGUCCUUCGGGACAUCGAGACAGGUGGUGCAUGGUUGUCGUCAGCUCGUGUCGUGAGAUGUUGGGUUAAGUCCCGCAACGAGCGCAACCCUUAUUGCCAGUUACUACGCAAGAGGACUCUGGCGAGACUGCCGUUGACAAAACGGAGGAAGGUGGGGAUGACGUCAAAUCAUCAUGCCCUUUAUGACCUGGGCUACACACGUACUACAAUGGCGUUUAACAAAGAGAAGCAAGACCGCGAGGUGGAGCAAAACUCAAAAACAACGUCUCAGUUCAGAUUGCAGGCUGCAACUCGCCUGCAUGAAGUCGGAAUUGCUAGUAAUCGCGGAUCAGCAUGCCGCGGUGAAUACGUUCCCGGGCCUUGUACACACCGCCCGUCACACCAUGAGAGCCGGGGGGACCCGAAGUCGGUAGUCUAACCGUAAGGAGGACGCCGCCGAAGGUAAAACUGGUGAUUGGGGUGAAGUCGUAACAAGGUAGCCGUA
rnacentral:rRNA from 1 species